GCCUUCGUGGUGUAGUGGUCAGCGCGCUCGACGCGCAACCGAGAGGUACGUGGUUCAAUUCCCGGCGAAGGUU
rnacentral:tRNA from 1 species